CUGGUAUGGCCGGAAUGCAGCUCUGGCUAUGCACCGUGAUGUACUCAGUCGCAGAGAAAUAUUCGAAUUCGUUUCGCUUCUAGCGGCAUCUUGUUGCUGCUUAGGCUGUGUUUUCAUGUCGGCGUGCGUAUUCACAAGGUAUACCUGGGAUAUAUGUGCCUUUAGCCAAUUGGCAUUUUAUUUCAAACAACAUACCAUGGCAUUGGUUAUUGUUAGACGGUUGGUGACAUGAAUGACAGUAUCCUGAUUGAUGUAGAGCUGUUUGUUCUAAUUUACGAACCGAUGCUUCAACAUCUAUACACCUAGCCAGCUGUAUGCUCAACGACUUCAUGGUCAUGUCUACUAGACAAAGUCUUGCGGUGAAUUCAUGCUGAAGUUUGUCGUAAUUUCGCACUAUUUGUGCGGCGACUAACAGUGACUUGCAGCAGAUUUGUGGAGAUCAGACACAAGCCGAUUGUGUUUGUGGCUUCAUUAGUAAAAGAAAGUGUUUCAAAGCAUCCUGUAUGCGGUAGCUACUAACACACAAAUGAUAAAACAGUAGCUACAGUAAACGCAAAGGUCUACCCGUGCAGCGGGAUGCAACACGAUGUUCUAGCGCGACAUGUCUUCGUUCUUGUACAGGUGUAGUAUAGCUGUACUUGGAAAGGUAUGCAUUUGUGAAACUGAACAUUAAUGCUGGUCGUAGGACUGCAAUAUAUUGAGAAGAGGCAAGACCCAUGGAGGACAAUUUUGAAUCGGUGCUACACUGGUCUGGGAGGCCGAGGCUAGUAGGUUACAUGUCUACUGUACACAUUCAAUAUAA